AUAGGUGAACCUGCGGAAGGAUCAUUAACACUUCUAUAUCCAAUAACCAAAACUUAACGUGAACUAAACUUCGCCCUAUUAUCAUAUUAAAGUCCAACUAGUUGAUUAAUCAUUUCUCUAUAUAUGCAAUUCGAACAGUUAAGUUAAAUUAACUGUUUGUGAUUCUAUUUGAUUUUUUGAUUCUUUUUCUAUUUAGGCUGAUAGUAGGCUAUUUUUCAAUUUCAUUUUAAACCAUUAUAACCUUUAAUUG
rnacentral:misc_RNA from 1 species